GGGUAUGUCUAAUGUCUCGGAUGA
rnacentral:siRNA from 1 species